rnacentral:rRNA from 2 species
GAUGAACGCUAGUUACAGGCUUAACACAUGCAAGUCGAGGGGCAGCAUGGAAGAAGCUUGCUUCUUCUGAUGGCGACCGGCGCACGGGUGCGUAACGCGUAUCAAACCUGCCUCAUACUCGGGGAUAGCCUUGCGAAAGUAAGAUUAAUACCCGAUGUUGUUAUGUUACCGCAUGGUGAUAUAACCAAAGAUUUAUCGGUAUGAGAUGGUGAUGCGUCCGAUUAGGUAGUAGGCGGGGUAACGGCCCACCUAGCCUUCGAUCGGUAGGGGUUCUGAGAGGAAGGUCCCCCACACUGGAACUGAGACACGGUCCAGACUCCUACGGGAGGCAGCAGUGAGGAAUAUUGGUCAAUGGACGAAAGUCUGAACCAGCCAAGUAGCGUGCAGGAUGACGGCCCUCUGGGUUGUAAACUGCUUUUAGUUGGGAAUAAAAAAGAGGACGUGUCCUCUA